rnacentral:rRNA from 1 species
CCUACGGGCGGCAGCAGGGGGGAAUAUUGCACAAUGGGGGAAACCCUGAUGCAGCGACGCCGCGUGAGGGAUGAAGGAUUUCGGUAUGGAAAGCUCUAUCAGCAGGGAAGAAAAUGACGGUACCUGACUAAGAAGCCCCGGCUAACUACGUGCCAGCAGCCGCGGGAAUACGUAGGGGGCAAGCGUUAUCCGGAUUUACUGGGUGUAAAGGGAGCGUAGACGGUCCUGCAAGCCAGAUGUGAAAGCCCGGGGCUCAACCCCGGGACUGCAUUUGGAACUGUAAGGCUAGAGUGUCGGAGAGGCAGGCGGAAUUCCUAGUGUAGCGGUGAAAUGCGUAGAUAUUAGGAGGAACACCAGUGGCGAAGGCGGCCUGCUGGACGAUGACUGACGUUGAGGCUCGAAAGCGUGGGGAGCAAACAGGAUUAGAUACCCUUGUAGUC